UACGGGGGGAGCAAGCGUUGUUCGGAUUUACUGGGCGUAAAGGGCGCGUAGGCGGCGUGGCAAGUCACUUGUGAAAUCUCCGGGCUUAACCCGGAGCGGCCAAGUGAUACUGUCGUGCUAGAGUGCGGAAGGGGCUACUGGAAUUCUCGGUGUAGCGGUGAAAUGCGUAGAUAUCGAGAGGAACACCUGCGGCGAAGGCGGGUAGCUGGGCCGACACUGACGCUGAGGCGCGAAAGCCAGGGGAGCGAACGGG
rnacentral:rRNA from 1 species